rnacentral:rRNA from 1 species
UACGUAGGGCGCAAGCGUUAUCCGGAAUUAUUGGGCGUAAAGAGCUCGUAGGCGGUUUGUCGCGUCUGCCGUGAAAGUCCGGGGCUCAACUCCGGAUCUGCGGUGGGUACGGGCAGACUAGAGUGAUGUAGGGGAGACUGGAAUUCCUGGUGUAGCGGUGAAAUGCGCAGAUAUCAGGAGGAACACCGAUGGCGAAGGCAGGUCUCUGGGCAUUAACUGACGCUGAGGAACGAAAGCAUGGGGAGCGAACAGGA